UAAUACGUAGGGGCGAGCGUUGUCCGAAGUUACUGGGCGUAAAGCGCGCGUAGGCGGGCUGGUAAGUCGGAAGUGAAAGUCCGGGGCUCAACCUCGGGAGUGCUUCCGAUACUGCUAGUCUUGAGGGCGGUAGGGAGAAGUGGAAUGGCUGGUGUAGCGGUGAAAUGCGUAGAUAUCAGUCGGAACACCGGUAGCGAAGGCGGCUUCUUGGGCCGUACCUGACGCUGAGGCGCGAAAGCCAGGGGAGCGAACGGGAUUAGAUACCCCGGUAGUCCUGGCUGUAAACGAUGGAUACUAGGUGUUGGGGGUAUCGACCCCUCCAGUGCCGCAGCUAACGCAAUAAGUAUCCCGCCUGGGGAGUACGGCCGCAAGGUUGAAACUCAAAGGAAUUGACGGGGGCCCGCACAAGCGGUGGAGCAUGUUGUUUAAUACGUCACUAACCGUAGAACCUUACCAGGGCUUGACAUCCGUCGCCGGACGGUGAAAGCCGUCUUUCCCCGCCAAGGGGACGCCGAGACAGGUGUUGCAUGGCUGUCGUCA
rnacentral:rRNA from 1 species